UACAGAGGGUGCGAGCGUUGUCCGGAAUCACUGGGCGUAAAGGGCGCGUAGGCGGCGCAACAAGUCACUUGUGAAAUCUCCGGGCUUAACUCGGAAAGGUCAAGUGAUACUGUUGUGCUAGAGUGCGGAAGGGGCAACUGGAAUUCUCGGUGUAGCGGUGAAAUGCGUAGAUAUCGAGAGGAACACCUGCGGCGAAGGCGGGUUGCCGGGCUGACACUGACGCUGAGGCGCGAAAGCUAGGGGAGCGAACGGG
rnacentral:rRNA from 1 species